rnacentral:rRNA from 1 species
CCUACGGGCGGCAGCAGUGAGGAAUAUUGGUCAAUGGCCGAGAGGCUGAACCAGCCAAGUCGCGUGAGGGAAGACGGCCCUACGGGUUGUAAACCUCUUUUGUCGGGGAGCAAAGAGAGUCACGUGUGACUCAUUGAGAGUACCCGAAGAAAAAGCAUCGGCUAACUCCGUGCCAGCAGCCGCGGUAAUACGGAAGGUCCGGGCGUUAUCCGGAUUUAUUGGGUUUAAAGGGAGCGUAGGCCGGCUUUUAAGUCAGCUGUGAAAGUCCGCGGCUCAACCGUGGAAUUGCAGUUGAAACUGGAGGCCUUGAGUGCACACAGGGAUGCCGGAAUUCAUGGUGUAGCGGUGAAAUGCUUAGAUAUCAUGAAGAACUCCGAUCGCGAAGGCAAGUGUCCGGGGUGCAACUGACGCUGAGGCUCGAAAGUGCGGGUAUCAAACAGGAUUAGAUACCCCUGUAGUC